CGCCCCACCAUCCAAGCCCACCGAGCUCCCCGCACCUGCUGCCACCAGGGGGACGCGAGCCGGGCCCGGAACGAAAGCUGAAGAUGGCUGUGGUGUCUUACUCCACCAGGACUCCCCUUUCCAGGAAGAAACACAUCUAAAACAUUGAGCUGAGGCUGGGCCACCAAAGCAGGGCAAAGGGUACAGGGGACAUGCUCCAACGUCUGGCCCAGAGAGGCACCUAGCAUGUUUGCUGAAUGAAUAAUGAAUGGAUGGGAGGAUCUUGGUACAAGCUAUUUUUGCAACCUGUCUAUCUCUACCUCUGACCUCCUUGGCGUCACUGAUGUAAUUUUUUAAAGUGCAGGCCUAUUUAUGCAAUACUUCCCAGCCACUGCCUUGACUGUAAGUCUAUGGUAAUGAGUCUGUGUUCAACAGGAAUUUUCAAAUGGAAAGUGGUCCUGCAGACUACUGUGUUGAAGAGUGAGAAGAAUAGAAAAAUUGUGAGUUCAAAGGAUAAUAGUUGAGUUUGUAGCAUUUUAUGCUUUCUUUUGCUGCUAUUUAAUGUUGUACUAAUCUCCCCAUUGUGAAUUAGCUGAGCCUGGUGACUGUGACCGGGACACAUUUAGAAUGGCCAGUGUCAGAGUCGCCAGCCUGCCCCUCAAGCCCGGGUGCCCUUGCCAGUCUGCUUUCAUUCUUUCAACACCUCUGCUCUUCCAGCAUGAGUGCCGCAGGCAGAGAGGACAACAGGGAAAGAUGGUGACCGAGCACAUUCAUUUAUCAUUUAUAUCCCUGGCUGGGGACCGAACCCUGUAGUACAGGAGAAGGGAAGGGAGCUUGGGACAAGGCAUUGGAACCUUCAGUUCUAUCUUAGCCAAAGUCACACGGCCCUUCUUCCAUUUAUAACAGGUGGAUGGGAAAUAGAACGCCCCUAAAAGAAGGCUAGAAGGAACAGCCUCAGUUCUGCUCUUAUCUUUCACCAUCACAUACUACUAAAACCAGCCAUCUAAUAAUCUCUUCACAUCUCGGCAGCUUAUCCUUAAACAUCACAUUUACAUAUAACAUAAAAGUCUGACUGCCUGGGGUUUUAAUCUUGCCUCUUACUAGUUAAGUGUACAAAUUGGAGCUAAUAAGAGUAUUUACCUUAUAGAAUUUUUGUGAUGAUAGAAUGGGUAAUAAAUAUGAACCACUUAGAAUGGA